AAAAUCAAAAUUAUUUUUUUAAAAAGAAAUUGUUGUCAUUACAGGAAGUGGUAGAUAUUUUGGGUUCUGCCUAGGCUGUUUCUGAAUCAGAAGGGAGUCCAUAUGAUUCUGUUUGACAUAAGUAUCCCUGCUCAAACCUUUCUGGAAGGAAUCAAGUUUAUACAUGGAGACAUCUGUCAUCUCUCUGAGGUAGAGAAAGCCUUCCAGGAUAUAAAUGUUACCUGUGUGUUCCAUAUUGUCUUUUAUGUUAUGUCAGGGUGGAAACAAUUGAAUCAAAAACUGCUUGAAGAAGUCAAUGUGGGGGACACAGGCAAUGUCCUCCAGGCUUGCAGGAGGAUAGGAGUAAUAAAAUUAGUUUACACUAGUGCUUUUAAUGCAUAUUUGGAGGUGAAAUGGUCAGAAAUGAAGAUGAAUCUGUCUUUCUUAGCUCUUCACCUCUAAAGCAAUCACUACUCUCAGACAAAAUUGACUAUGGACAAAAAGAUAGUGGAAGUAAAUGGUGUU
rnacentral:lncRNA from 1 species